UCCUUGACUUCAGAUUGUGACUUCUUCC
rnacentral:piRNA from 1 species